AGGACGAACGCUGGCGGCGUGCCUAACACAUGCAAGUGGAGCGACGAACCGGGCUUCGGCCCGGGGCAAAGCCGCGAACGGGUGAGUAACACGUGGGUAACCUGCCCUGAUGAUUGGGACAACCCGAGGAAACUCGGGCUAAUACCGAAUGUGCCCUCUGGCCUCAAGGCCGCUGGGGAAAGGAAGCUUCGGCCUCCGCAUCGGGAUGGGCCCGCGGCCCAUUAGCUUGUUGGUGGGGUAAUGGCCCACCAAGGCGACGAUGGGUAGCUGGUCUGAGAGGACGAUCAGCCACACUGGGACUGAGACACGGCCCAGACUCCUACGGGAGGCAGCAGUGGGGAAUUUUGCGCAAUGGGGGAAACCCUGACGCAGCAACGCCGCGUGGAGGAUGAAGCCCUUGGGGCGUAAACUCCUUUCGAUCGGGAAGAUAAUGACGGUACCGGAAGAAGAAGCCCGGCUAACUUCGUGCCAGCAGCCGC
rnacentral:rRNA from 1 species